rnacentral:rRNA from 1 species
CAGUAGCCACGGUAAUACGAAGGGGGCUAGCGUUGUUCGGAUUUACUGGGCGUAAAGGGCGCGUAGGCGGGCGAAUAAGUCAGGGGUGAAAUCCCAAGGCUCAACCUUGGAACUGCCUUUGAUACUGUUUGUCUUGAGUUCGAGAGAGGUAAGUGGAACUGCGAGUGUAGAGGUGAAAUUCGUAGAUAUUCGCAAGAACACCAGUGGCGAAGGCGGCUUACUGGCUCGAAACUGACGCUGAGGCGCGAAAGCGUGGGGAGCAAACAGGAUUAGAUACCCCGGUAGUCCCUGUCUCUUAUAC